CAGGGAGCCCGCUGAGUGCCUCCUAAUGUUUCCAUUAGCUUUUGGCUGCAGGUCCAGUUCUGUUUUUAGCCUCCCUCGCCGGUUCCCUCCGCCCCCUUCCUGCGGGCUCCUUGUUUGCUUGGUCGAGUAAUGCUCCCCGACUUCCUGGCCGUUUGUUUGAGGUCGGCUCAGUAUUGAUCUGGCGGUGCCUGCUCUGCCCGCCCCAGAUGCUCAGGGACCCGCCCCCUGCCGCACCCGGGUCUCCGACAAUCUGGGGGCGGGGCAGAGUAUGGGGAGAAGAAAGCAAGGCCGGACUCCCUUAAAAAAUCUUGCAGAGCUCGAAGGAGGAGUUCAUAGCCCAGUAGAGCUGCAGCUGCUCCUGGCGGGCGAGAAGACGGGAGCGGGUGAGACCACGGGGAGCACCGGAAGGAAGCCCCCUCCUCUGCGCCGGCCCGGACUCCUCUCCCAAGUUCAAGGUAGCGACGCCAAACCUCAGUGACUCGGCUCUAGAAACGGGAUCAGACUGACCGAGUCUGCGGGCCGAGCCACCCAGGACCCCACUGGGCUUCUUCAGGCCCAUGGUGACAGAUCUUAGAGUCGCAGUGACCAAGUCCUCGGAUCUCAGGCCCCCGCGGCCAUCUGCACCGCUUCUCACCUUACAGAGUGACCCCGGGUUCAGCAUGGGAGAGGAACCACCCAGGACACACAGCAAGACCCAGAGCAGGGCUGGCUGGCUCUUAGCACUGGUCUCCUGGCCAGCUGAGGCGGCUCUGGACCCCCCUGGGUGUCCCAUCUGGUCACCGCUGCAGCCUCAGGCCAGCAGCAGGGUCACGGGACUGCUGACUGGGCCCCCACAGUGGCUUUUCCUAGGCUGGGCAACUCCACCUCUCUGGCCUCAGUCUUCCUGUCUGCACAAUGGCCAUGAUGAUACCCAGGGCACAGAUGGGCAGCGGAGAUGAAUCAAGACAAGAAACACAGGCAGGAGGGGGCAGCCAGGACCCAGAAAGCCGCUGUGCUGGGACGCACAGCUUGGUGUCCCUGCCCCCCUCUGGUCUUGGUUUUCUCAUCUGCAAAAUGGCGGGCCGUGUGCAUGUGCUGUGGAGAGGGAGUUGGAGGCUUAGCGAUCUGCCGGUUACUUGGUGGUGAUUGUUUGGGGUGCUGGCGAUUGAGCCCAGGGGAGCUCUAUCGUGAGACAAGAUUCUUGCUAAGUGGCCCAGGCUGUCCUCAAACUUUGUUUUUGUUUGUUUGUUUUAAUAUUUUUUAGUUGUAGAUGGAAACAAUACCUUUAUUUUAUUUUUUAAUUUUAUGCGAUAUGAGGAUCGA